AGUGGGGAAUUUUCCGCAAUGGGCGAAAGCCUGACGGAGCAAGACCGCGUGGGGGAGGAAGGUUCUUGGAUUGUCAACCCCUUUUCUCAGGGAAGAACACAAUGACGGUACCUGAGGAAAAAGCAUCGGCUAACUCCGUGCCAGCAGCCGCGGUAAUACGGGGGAUGCAAGCGUUAUCCGGAAUGAUUGGGCGUAAAGAGUCCGUAGGUAGUCAUCCAAGUCUGCUGUUAAAGAGCGAGGCUUAACCUCGUAAAGGCAGUGGAAACUGGAAGACUAGAGUGUAGUAGGGGCAGAGGGAAUUCCUGGUGUAGCGGUGAAAUGCGUAGAGAUCAGGAAGAACACCGGUGGCGAAGGCGCUCUGCUGGGCUAUAACUGACACUGAGGGACGAAAGCUAGGGGAGCGAAUGGG
rnacentral:rRNA from 1 species